rnacentral:rRNA from 1 species
AUUGAACGCUGGCGGUAUGCUUAACACAUGCAAGUCGAACGGCAGCAUAAUCUUCGGAUUGAUGGCGAGUGGCGGACGGGUGAGUAAUAUAUAGGAAUCUGCCUUGUAGUGGGGGAUAACUAUCCGAAAGGAUAGCUAAUACCGCAUAAUGAUUACGGUUUAAAGCAGGGGAUCUUCGGACCUUGCGCUACAAGUUGAGCCUAUACAAGAUUAGCUAGUUGGUGAGGUAAAGGCUCACCAAGGCGACGAUCUUUAGCUGGUCUGAGAGGAUGAUCAGCCACACUGGGACUGAGACACGGCCCAGACUCUUACGGGGGCAGCAGUGGGGAAUAUUGGACAAUGGGUGCAAGCCUGAUCCAGCAAUACCGCGUGUGUGAAGAAGGCCUUCGGGUUGUAAAGCACUUUUGUUAGGGAGGAUGGUGAUUUUGGCGAAUACCCAAAGUCAUUGACGUUACCUAAAGAAUCAGCACCGGCUACUCCGUGCCAGCCGCCGCGGUAA